ACUUGUUCACAUGUUGUUGAACGACUCCGAUGACAAAAGGGCAGUGACAGUCAACGUCGACCAAGGACAACACAUUUAAAUAAAUAGAAUGUGCUGCCUGUGUAGACUACUGCCUGAUUGGCUUGGCUGCAUUCAUGCAGAAAGGAAAUUAGGGACAACGUUGACAAGAUGUGUGAGUCGGACAAUAGCUCAGAUUUGUCAAGCUCAGACAGCUCGUCAUCCACUGACAGUGAAAAUGAACAAAAAAAAGGAAAAAAGGAAACAGCUAAAUGUCAUGAC